AGGAGGAACAACCACAGUGCCCGGGCCAGCUCUGGAGCCCUGGAUUCAGCUCCCACAGUAACUUAGGAGCUCUCUGCAGGGCCUGGAGGCUCCGGGGGCGG
rnacentral:pre_miRNA from 1 species